GCUACCAUGACUUUGAUCCCCGUCUUCAUCUGGACACUGAUCCUCUGGACUCAAGAAUGCAGAGGUCAAGCCACAGUAACUCAGACUCCUGCAGUGAAAUCUGCUCUUCCAGGAGAAACAGUCACCAUCAACUGUAGAACCAGUCAGGCAGUGUACACAGACUCAUCUGGUGACCGGUUAUUCUGGUAUCAGCAGAAACCUGGAGAAGCUCCUAAACUCCUGAUUAAAUUUGUAAAUCAGCUACAGUCAGGUUUUCCAGCUCGUUUCAGUGGCAGUGGAUCUGGAUCUGAUUUCACUCUGACCAUCAGUGGAGUCCAGACUGAAGAUGCAGGAGAUUAUUACUGUCAGAGUUACCAUUACAUCUCUGGUUACUGGUUCACACAGUGUUAUAGAGUCUUUAGAAAAGAACUGAGCCGUGAGAAGAAGAGGAAGAGGUUCCAGGAUGAGACCUCAGAGGAAGCAGGUCAGGAAGACAGUGCAGAAACAACAUUUCGAAAUACUGUAUUUUUCACUGCCCUGGAGCAGAUAAUAAGUGACUUGGACACUCGGUUCCAAACCAUAGCAAAUAUUGUUGAAGAAUUUGCAGCUACACAUAAUCAGCACACAUAA